CCCGUGUGCCGUGCUCUGCCCUGUGUGCUCCAGUGACACCUCCCGGUUUCUGUGUCUUCUCACCUCUGUUCACAGUCUUUACCCCGUGCCUUCCUCCCCACCCCGGGCUGCCUGCUCAGAGCUGAAAAUGUCGCCCUUCUCCCCAGUCGGAGCCUGAGCCUGCUCUGUACCCUUUCCCCUGCUGGCCCGCUGGCUCGUACUCAGCCACCGGCAAUUUCUUCUCGACCCUCCUUAUGGUUUAUCACUCUUCCCGUCAAACCGCUUUUGUGUCGUGAUUCUUUGGCACCUGCAGAAUCAGGCCCAGACCCUGCCUGGUGUGUAAGCUCUGUCCAGGCCACCGGCCUGGUCCAACCUAGUCCCCCCGUAACCUCUCUGGCCCUUCAGCAUCUCCUGACAGCAUCCUCUCUCAGCCUGGAUUCCUCCUCAUCUCCGUUUUCCUUUCAUCUCUGCCUUUGACAUGUUGGUCUUCAUGUGGAGCUCAGCUCAGAGGCCUCCACUUCUUCAUCCCUGUCUGUGCUCCCCCACCCCUCUCAGGUCAUAGAGGGCAUUCCUCUUUGCAAAUCCUGUCUUCUGGCUGAGUCAACUGUAGUUUCCCUGAACCUGGCACUCUCCCCUGUGGUUGCGGGCACAUGGUCUGCCUCCAGUCCCGAGGGCUGGCACCUCCACACGACCUGGGUGCUGCUUUGCAUCAGAAAUACCCGGGAGCCCACUUGCAGAGCUAGCGUGUGGGGCAGGCAGGAGCUCUGUGUUUGGUCUUCAUGAGCUGGGGAGAACCUUCAUGUGUGCCCAGCACUUCCCAUACCAGGGUUGGGUCUCGUGCCCUCCCUCCCACACCCAGCACCGAGCUGGGGCCAUAAGGGUAGCUGGGGGGCUGUGCUUAGGAUCAGACUUGGUUUCCGAAUGGACAGGUCACCUUGAUGUCCUCUCUCCCAAGCAGGCACAGGGCUUGACGGCACUGGCUCACUUGGGGGAGUGGAUCUUGAGGUCCUCAGAAAACUUACCUGGGCGGACUGUGCUUUGCGGGUUUAUAGCAGGAGCGGGGGACCCUCCCCGGAGGAGGGAGCAGGCCUUCCUGAUGCCACAGCCUUGUGUUGUCUUUACCAGUGUGAGUGGGAACUCAGGAGGAGCAGACCCCUCUUCUGGAGCUGAUCUCAAAUGAGGGCAUCCUUCCUGGCCUGGGAGGCAGCAGUGGACGAAAUAGGCCCUGCCCUCAGGGGGCUGGCAUUCUCUAGAGGGAGACAGACUUCACAGAAAAGCAAGUGUGUGGUAAGCUGUCAAGGGCUAUGAAGCGGGAGCUGCAGAAGUGUAAACAUGCAGGUGGAGGUGCACCAGCUCCUGGCCUCAGAUUAGCUGCUGGGAAGCGGGGAGGAGACAGAAUUAGGGAGAGGCUUUCACCGGCUACAGCAUAGGAUUUCUUUAACAACAACAACAAAGUGGGGGGGGGGGGACAAACCUGUCUCAAAAAAUGCAAAAUGUUGCUUUUGUUGACUCUGCAGGAAGUGAGUACAAGUGUUGUGUUAUUCUCUGAAUUUUCCUGUGUGCCUGAGAGAUUCAUAAUGAAAGCAGCGUGAAAGAGAAAGUGAAGGGCGCACAGUUCCAGGUUCCUGUGCGGGAUCUCCGGGUCAAAGAGACCCCGUUCUCCUGCUAGAGUCCUUUGUAGUGAAGCUCCAGACCCCCUGUGAGAUCCCCUCAGUGAGCGAAUGCAGGGUCCCUGUUCCUUUGCUCAUAGCAGCCCAGGGAUCAAACUUGAAGACACUGAAUUGGGUUCUGCUUCAGCUUAUCCUGUUCUUCCACUUUCCUCUGACCCUGCCCCUUUAAGGUAGGGUGUGUGGUGGGCCAGUCUGGCCUAGUAGGCAGGGGCUUGACUUUAGUGGCUGUCCCUCUGCUGCUCAGUCACUGCCUAGCUUGUCAGGAAGCCCAGCCUUAGCCAGGAGUGAAUUUGUGGCCCCCCACCCCCCCCCCAGGAAAAAUGGACUCUCCUCACUUUAACUGGCAUAGAGUAAAGGGUUUGUCUGGGUUUAUCUUGGAAGGCCUCAGUCCCUGUGCCAAGUGGCCAGACCCUUGUGGGUGUAACCCCAGACUGCAGGGUCCAGGGUUUGGGUGUGGGCUUUCCAGAAGUACCAUGAGGCAGCAGAGUCUGUCAGCGUCUCUCCCAGGAAAGAGGGGACCUUUCUGCUCAUCUGUACCCCAAGUCUGGAAAGGAACUCCCAGCAGGAUGCUUACGGCUUGAAAGCAGGCUCCAGCCCCUAGGCCACAGCCCCCUGCCACGGCCCCCUUUGCCAAUGGGGAGAAAGGGGCUACCUUCUAGGUCCACUGAGCGGGGUGGUGGUGGCAGGGAUGACCUCUGAGGCCAGUUAACUGGUGAGCAUCUCAGCUUCCUUGGCUCCUGGGAGGUAAGAAUAGUCUGCUUCAGUCCAGGUCCACACACACUGAGCCAAGGUGCCAGGUGGGCAGCCCUGUGGGCACCAGCCCUUCUGAAGUGUCCUGAGAGAAACGCAGGGCCCACUCCAGGCCGCCUUCAGCCCAGGGCAGCAGGACAAGGCCUCCUGGAGAACAUUCCUCUUGAGUUAGGUCUGGAAUCUUAGUGGGUAGGAUUUAGGCAGAGAAGGUCCAGAGGUGUACACCAGCAGGGUGAAAGGACAAGUGGGAUGGCCACUUGUUGGAGAGGCAUGGACAGACAUCCUCUGACCCAUUGCUUGUAGACCCCAGCCUGGGCUUUAUACAGGUCGCUGGAGCAGGGAGGAGGAUUUAAUAUGGUGGCCUUUAGGCUCUGCACAGGCACGUGGCACGCAGCCUGUUUCUUCAGUUGGUGUUCACUAACUAGGUCGUCAUGUGCCUUUGUUUACACUGACAGGACUGAGCAAAAUAAGAAAGGUUGAGGCAGUUCUUUGUGCAGCAGCGGCCCCAAAGUUGUAGGAACUAGGCUGAUGGUGAGACCUCAGGACUGCCACUCAGGAGCCUUCUGGCCUUGGCAAGUCACAUUGCCUCAGUGAGCCUCACCCGAGGCUUUCUUUGACUGAAAGAUGGGGAGAAAAAUAACACUUGCUUUCCUGAUGAGCACAGCAGAUACCGUCACUGGGCUGUGGGCAGGAAGAAGACACUUGUAGGCCCUCCUGAGCCAGCUGAAGGACUCCAGACACACCUGGAAAAGGCAGAACUAAUGUUUGUGUAGGCUAUGCUAACUUUGCAAAUAGGGCAGUCAUGGGGGAAACAGGGAGGUGGGUGGAUAAGGAUAGAAGUAAGUACAUUGGCCAAGAAAUGAAUCGUUAGGAGGUCUUCUGUGGGGCCUCCCUUCCUUGGUACAGAUCAUCCUCAGCAAAGAAGUUGAGCGGCAUCAUUUUGCACAUGCAGGGGCGUGGGGGGUAGGGUAUGUGGCUGAGGAAACAGGAAAACCCAACAGGAUUGGAGGCAGGCACCACAGGACGUCGCCCCUCACCAGCCAUGCUGGCGACUCACCCAGCUUCCUCUCUGCCCGUGCUCCUGCCCAUUUGCCUAAGGAAUCUUCUCAGAAUCUUGGCUGUUCUAGUUCCUUUGCCCUUCCUGAUAAAUUUUAGCAUCAGCUUGUUCGUAUCUAUAAGAAAAGCUUGCUGGGAUUUUGAUUGGAAUUGCUUGGAACCUGUAGAUCAAAAUUCCUUUUUAAAAAUUUGUAUUACUCUCUUCAGGAUAAACCCUACCCUGUCCCCCAUACAACCAAAUCCCCACUAGGGUGGGGAGUCGGUCCCUUGAAGGGGGACCAGCCUGAGCCACGUUCUGUGGGAAGGAAAGACGUGUUUGCAUUGCCAGAAAAGGGUCCUGCUUGUUAUUUGGGCUGGAUCCGCCCUCUUCUAGCCAGCCUGCCCUGUAGCUAACUCUGAGGGGCCUCCGUGACUCAUCUCUAACACAGCUCCUUGCCUGCUGCCUAGAUAAGAGACGAUCUGGCGGCCCUGGAAAGCUGGCCCACAGAAAGGGGUAUUUCUGUCAGCUGCUUUUGUUUUUUUCUUUUCAAGCCCUCAGUCCCUUCCUCUGAUGGCAAGUCAGCUGACAUAUGUGCCAUAGAGGGGUGCCUGGGGUAGGGUUCGUGGCUGAUAGUCACAGCCACCCUGCCAGGUGGGAGGAGAGGGGAGGUGUUGCACACUCUACUGGGCAUGGGGCAGGGGAGCGUGUCUUAUUGAGUGCCUGAACAAGCAAGCCUCAACCCUCAGCCCCCACAGCCACCACCUCCCUCUGGCUUUGGAUCAAGGUCUGCACCCAGCUGGAGCAGUCACCGUUCGGGGACAGUGGUUCACUCUGGAGUGCGUGUCACACACUGCUGCUGGAGAAACUGGGCCACUGGCCCUCCUUCUUCAGGAUGGAAAACCAGUUCUCCCACUCCCGUGUGGAGAGAGGUCCCAUCCCAGCUGAGGCCCAGCCUGGGCCUGGCCUGGCGCCCAAACCCUGUAGGCUGGCAAAUGGCAGGCCUUCUUUUGUCUGCGAGUUGGGUCCCCAGGACGGUGUCUGUGUGCCAGGGCGUGCUCACAGACCCGUGGCAUCCGCUUGAUUCAGCGGCCCUUGUUCCACUGUAGCGGUAACCACCAGAGUGGCCCUCACCCACUCCUCUGGGCUUCCCUCACUGCGCUCCGGGCCUGGGGCUGUCCCAUCCGUGGCACUGGGGAGGGAGCGUGGCUCCAUGGCUCGUGCUGAGGCACCAGCACAAAGACCUGCGGCCGCUCUGCUUUUGCUCUGUUGCUCAGGAAUAGGCCUGGAAUGUGGGAGAAUGAACCAAGAGAGAACUAGUUGAAGGACGGCAGUGUUCACCAUGAGACCAGGCCAGGCGCUUCCCUUCUGUGUCAGGGAAAGGUGGGAGGCUGGCUGGGUCCUUUCUUCGUGGAAAGGAGGCCUGAUCUCGUAGGUCAUGAUCAUCAGUGCUUCCAAAGCCCUUCUCAGUAAAUCCCCCUGUCUGUUCUGGGGGUAGGUGUGGUGCACCGUGAGGUGAAGAAGCUGUGCUUCAUGCGGAUGAAGUGACUUGUCCAAGAUCUCCCUCCUGAGAGCAAGCGGAACAGCGCUGGGACUCCCCCCAGAUGCCUCUGUCUGCCAGCUCCUGAGGCAGGCCAGGCCUGGUUCUGCUCCAUGACCUUCACCCUUAGCGCUGCUCCCAAACACGGAGGUGCUGGAGCCUCCGUACCACGCGCCCUCUUGGCCGGGGCCGGCGGGGUGGGCAUCAGGGGGGCCAGGCAGCUGUGCGGCGAGAAGAGGAGGGUUUCUCUGGCAGCCUGCAGCAGAGGCUGGCGGCUUACAGCCCAGGGCAGCCUAGUGGGGUUGAGCGCCAUCCACCGUGUGGCCUGUGCGACGGGUUGGGCCCCAGGAGGAUGGGGGGCGAGGGGCUGUGCAGGCUCCUUCUCCCCAGUCCCGUCUGGCCCCAGACAGCCAGUGUGGCCAGUGUCUGGCCUCGUCUUGUGGGCCCUUUGGGGUUCAGCUCAGCUGCCAAAGCCUUUACCCUCCUCCUCUUUUAAAAUUUAAAUUGAUACAAAGUACUUAAAUUACAUAUUUCUUUCAGUUGUGGAAAACUUAGAAAAUACAGACCACCAUGUAUCUGUGCAUAUCCUGCUGUUACCGUUUUCACGUACUGUAGCCCGACCAUCUUUUGAUAAAUACACUUCUACAAGAUUCUCAGUGGCUGCUUAAUAUUUCUUUGAGAGUACUACUCAUAAUUUAUUUUUCAGCUCUUGAUUUUUGGUACCUCAGCCAUUUCUGGUGCUUCACGUCCGCGUCAGCUGUGCGUUUUCAGGUGGGGUGGGUACAAAGCCCAACCUGGAAAUCCAGAGAACGUGGUCUGGGCUCUGCAGAGGCUCGGGUGGGAGCGGGUGCAGGCCACAUGACCCUGCUGUGCCGGCAGCUCGAGCCGGGCAGGGACCUGACCCUUGGCCCUGGGCAUUGCCUUGAACAGCUGCUGGCUCUUCUGAACCAUCAGGGGCUGGGCAUCUGGUGCUCUUGGUGGGCCUUGGGGCCGACACAGUUGGGUGAACAUAGCUGUCAGUCUGUCUUGGUGGGGCUCCCAUGUGGGUCCCAUCCCUAGCGGCUCUGGUGCCCCGUGGCCUCCCUGUUUUUAAGGCAAAGGCGUGGCUGCCUUUCUGUUGUGUAUUUCUAAAGCCCUUUGUGCCGCUAACACCUGUGACCCACUGUGAUUUUAGGAGCUGAGUGGGGGUCCUGGUAGCUCGGAGGGCUGGGGGGAUGGGCUUUGGAGAGGGAAGAGGGGUUUCAAGAAUGGCGCUGUGGACUGCACUCCUGGAGCGGGAGGGUGGGGGGUGCCCAGCAUGCAUUUUCCCCUUAAGGAACACCAAGGGCUCAGAGCACUUGCACUGCAAGUGGGACUGCAGCCCUGGGCAGGACUCCCGGUCGUGGGGUCAGGAAGCUUUUACUCUUCCACAUGAUCGUGGGUCCCUGAGGAGCUCGGUGAGGGGGACUGGGGUCUGCCUGAAGGCCAGAGACCUGGGUUUGGAUUCUGGCUCUGACUUUUCCCUCACUCCGAUGCCUCGAACACAUCCAUGAGCCUCUCUGGACUGAUUUCCACGUCUGGAGCGUGUCAGUAACCACCUUAGGUUGAAGGGCAGCCCUGAGGGCAGCACGUGGAGGGCAUUCCUGUUGAGAAGCAAGCAUUAUCCCAUUCUCUGCCUGUCGCCUGGGCCUUGGAGCCGGGGCAGGACCAGCAGAUGCGGGAGCUCCCACCGCUUUCCCUGAAGCCCUCUGAGGGGUCACUUGAGAGGCUUUGUCCACGUGAUGUGGCCCUGUCCAGCACGUGGUCGGUUCUUGUGCCACAUCCUCUCUGCCUGUCAUAGGACAGGAGGCCUGGGGUGGCUGGCCGGAUGGAAGGGGAGGGAGCUUUGUCCCCUAUCUGUAGUCUGUCCCCAUGGUGUGGCCAGAGUCGUCCUUUGGGAGGACAGCUGGAGUCCUAUGUCUUCUGCCCAUGAGUGGGGAAGCCGCUGGGCUCUUUAAAAGCUUCAUUUGCUAUUAAGCCAACCAUCAAGUAUCCAAGUGUCCUGGGUUAAACUGUUCAGCAGCCACCAAACAAAAACAUCACCGUAGCCCAACAGGUUCCACGCUGAUUUUGUACUUUACCUAUAGUGAAGUUUCUAGGUGUUGUGAUUGCACUGUCCCGAGCUGGACAUUCCCACCCACCCUCACGCCCAGUCCUGGCCGUCAUCUGGAAGGGUGCUCAUCCUCUGGGGGACUCUGCCAGAAGAGAGCCACAAGUGUCUGCCCAGGGCUGCUACAGAUUCUGCUACCAGAAACAUUUCCGUGUGGAGCAUUGUGUUUUGUUUGUCCCUGCUUUGUUGCUAUUUCUACGGAAUAAGUUCCCCAGAGCAGGCUUAUCAGGUCAUGAGGUUUGAACGCUUUCAUCAGUCUUGAGGGAAGUGACUGCCAGCCUCUGGAGCCCUUGUGCACACCAAUUGAGAUGGUCGCCUGUCACCUUGUUUUCAUGGGUCUCCAGGGUCUGGCCACUGGUAGCAAGAAACGAGGCCUUGUUUGUAUUGGGGACAUGGAGGUGAGUGUCGUCCGUGUGCAGAGCCUAAGGCAGCCAGAAGGUUGUUGGGGUGUGUGUGUCCCUGGAAGAGCCCUGCGUCUCUGUACCCCGGAUGUGCACACUGUGUGCCUCUGCGGUCAGAGCUGCUGUCUUCAGCCAGUGCUGGCCUCCAGGGCCUCGCAGGUCCCUCCUGGGCUUGGCCUUCCCUGUGGUCAGUGGCUGGGGGGAGAGCUUCGAGACAGCCCUUUUUCUGGUCCUGGAGGGGCCUGUAUAGGCAGGAGGGACCACGGUAGCCAGGUGGGGUGGGCUGUGUUCUCAGCAGGCCACGUGGGACUGCCCCAUUCCGGCCUCUCUCCAGGGGUGCAGGAGGGGCUGUGUGCGAGGUGAGAAGAGAGGCUCGUGUCCCAGAGGGUAAGGCUGGUAGCAUGGAUGAAGGAGGGUGAAGUGGGCCAGGGCUAGGAAACCUCCAUGAGCAGCGGGCUUUCUCUGAUGCCCAUUCACCAGGGAGUGCUUUGGACCACAUCAUCUGGAAAUUUCCUUUCACUUGGACAUUCUAGAACUCUACUCCUGGGUAGAGUUUCCCACUUUACAGAGAAUGCCAGCUUUUUCCUCCCUUCCUCUGAAUGGCACACAUGGAAGGUGUGAAAAGGCACCUCCGUGUCCUCUCCCCGGGCUCUCCCAGCCAGCCCACGCCUGGGGGCCCUGCAGCUGGUCUUGAGGAAGACCUCUCAGCGGUCACCGAACCUGCUCGGGCACUUGAUAGGUCUCCUCAGAUGCCUGGGGAGAAGGCGGAAGAGAGGAGAUGGGAAAGGGUACAUUUCCCCCAAUUUAAGGAGGCUCCAUAGAAUGUGGACCUGGGCAUCACUGUUGCUUUGCCACGGAGACAGUGGAAGUCACUUAGGAGUUGGCUGCCUUGACCAGAACACAUUCCUGCCUUUUUUGAAUCUCCUGGGCAAAAAUCCUUUACUUCCUAUAUUGUCUUCCCAAGCAUUAAAAGGCCCACAGGGCCCCUGGCCACCCAUCAGCGCCCUCUCUGAAUUCUUCCAUCGAGCCGGGGGCAAGCGCAUGCUGGGAGCUUAGUGCUGGAGCUCAGUCCCUAGGCACUUGUAAGGCAGGGUGUGCAGGACAGCCACAAAGGGGCCAUGUGCAGUGGGGUGUGAGGGCUGCUGAGUAGAGGGUAGGGGCAUGUAGGGCAAAGAGGGGGCACAGGAGAGGAGCGGUCAGCUGUCUUGGGGUGAGUGGGGACAUUAGGGCUGCCCGCAGUGCCAUCUUGUUGAGCUAGCUCUUGCAGCCUAAGGGGCUUCAGAGUGUGUAGGAGGCAGGGCUGGCAGUGACCCAGGGGACAUUUGAUUGGAAAGCAGGCUGUAGGGAACAAUGAGGAAUGAGGCCAGGACUGUGCUAAGAGGCUUAGUCUUGUUUAGGGGACACUGGGGACCCUGGAUCAGAGAGGGUGAAAGUAGAGGUUCCCAGGUGGCCUCUGUGUCUGUCCUCCCCAUGGGACAGACCACAGGCUCAGCUCAGAUGCCAGUUGCCUCCAUGGAGGGGCCUGUGGGUAGCCCAGGACACGUGGUUGCAAAGGGUGGAGUCCUAGAAGGCACUGGGCUCACUGUGUUGCCCUCCUGUCCGUAGACUCCAGGGCCAAAAGCCUCCGGAGCGCGUCUUGGCCUCUGCUUCUCUUUGGCCAGAGGCGCUGAUGGCUGCUGGGUGCUGAGCCCACCACAGUCCCUGCUCCUGGGGGUCAGCCUCACUGUGUCCCCUCUGCCUGCUGCCUCUUUCUUUGUUUUCUUCUGUCUAAUUGGUUGGCUGUUUCUGUGCAGACAGAAUAUUAACUACAUUAGCAACUCUAGAAACUACAGAAAAUCAGAGAAGCAAGUAAAAGGAUCGCUUAGCUAAUCACUGUCAGCGUUUGGUUGUUUUUGUCUUUCUGUUAAUUGUUCGGUUGCGUGUUAAGGGCAGUCUUUCACAGACAGCGUUUUCAGUGGUUAUGCAGUGAUGGAUCUGAUGUCUGUAGUUAUUUGGGUGUAUAUUUACACAUUUUAUUUUAGUUUUUGAGUAUGUAAGGGAUUCGUGGCUCCUAAUUCAAAGGUAUUAAAAGGCACACGGGGAAAAAAUUCUUCAUUCACUCCCAACCCUUGCUUAUAAGACAACCUCCCCCUCCCCUCAGUAGGCUCCUUGCCCCCAUGUGGGGCUUGAACUCACAAGCCUGAGAUCAAGAGUCAUGUGCUCUACCAGCCGAGCCAGCCAGGUGCCCCUAAGACCACCUUUUUAGGGCCGGCUUCUUGGCAUCUUCCAGAGGUAGGCGGUACACAGAUAGGAAACUAUGCUGGUAUGUCCAACCCCGCCCCCCCGCCAAACAGCACACUUGUUUUUACACACGUGAUAGCACGCUACUCUUCCUCACCUUGCUCUGGUUAGUCUAGCAGUAGCACAUCAUGGCGUUCAUCCCACAAAAGUCACAAAGAGCGUCUUCAUUGUCCCUCUGGUCCUGUGGCAUUCUGUUGUUGAUACAGGCCAGAGGGCAUGUGACCAGGGUCUCCGUGAAGCGCUCUCUCCCCACCAGGAGAGGGUUAGCUCGGGGAAGGGGCCCUCAAGUCUGUGUCCUCCGUAGCCCCUAGCUCAGGACUCAUGUGUUUUGUAGCCUCAGGCCCGGAGAUGGCUGGAGAAAAGUUCUGGGCACUCCUCUGGCCUGGCCGUCUCCCACGCCUCUGCCUGUGGCUCCUCCGGGGCCGGGGCCGGGGCCGGGGCCAGCCCACCCCGCCUGUGGCCUAUUGCUUAGGCCUUGCCUCAGAGCCUGUCUUCUAAGUCCUAUCCGCAGAUUUCAGUCCAGUCCAGGUCCACUCCACACCCGGUUCUGAGCAGAGAGGGCUGCAGAGAUAAGUAAGAGAAGAGAAGCCAGGCUCCUGGCUGGCCCCGCUUCCGGGACUCACUCGUGACCGAGGCCGGGCUCGUGGAGACCAGACACACUGAGGAGGCAGGCAGGGAGAGAGUAGUUUUCUGUUCUUUGGCUAGCCCUCAACUGCUGGUGGUAUGUCCUGGCCCGUCCUGCCACUCGGUGUGUGGUGUGCAGGAAUAGGCACAUCUCUGCCACCCGGUGGGCCACACAAGGACCACUUCAUCUGCUCAGGCACCCUAGCUCAUGGAGGGUAUUUUGAGAAGCCUUGCUAGGCCACGUAUGUGUCUGCUGGGUUGCUGUUCCCAGCUGCACUCGAGGGUUACUCUCUGGGCUUCGGAGGGCUAACUGUCCCAUCUUGGGACAGUCUGCCAUAUUCCCACCCUGGCAGGUGGAGCCCUUGGGGUGUGGGGCGGGGCUUCUGGGGCAGCGUUGUGGAGUGAGAACAAGGCACUCCUGGGAGAUUUGACUCUGUGCUGCAGGGCACUACUCUGUUCAGUAUCGAUGUCCACAGCUUGAAUCCCUUACACAGCCUCAUGAAAUCAAGAUGUCCUUGAUUUCCAUGUGGAAGCCAAUGAGAGCAUGACCCUUCCCAUCCUUGUCUCGGAAGCAUCAAAGCUGGGAUUUGGACCCAGGUCACCCUGUUAGGAGCCUCGGGCUCCAGCACCUCCUCCCACCGCAGCCUCCACAUUCUAAGACCAGGGUAGCAGAACCUGUGCGUGGCUCCAGUGGCCUCUAGAAGAGUGAGCUCCAGAUGCCAGCGUCUGCCUAGUGACUGUGGCAGCUUCCGAGGGGCCCGGCUGGCGUGGUGUAGUCCCAUCUCCCAGCCUCCCAGAGCUGUGGCAGCUCCGGAUACCGCCAGAUGCCGCCGUGGGGAGCCCCCAGGUUGGCGGCCUGGGCCCGUUUUGUGUGCGAACUUGUUGUUUCUCAGCUUUCCUUUUUAUCUCAAUUUUGGUUUUUUGGAUUUUUGUUUUGUUUUUAAUCAUUCCAUUUCCUGUUAAUAUAACUUGUUAAUUAUAUACUCUUUUUCCUGUUAGGGGUUUCCGUAGGGAUACAACAUACAUCCUGAACCUACCGAAGUCCAACAUAAAGUAACACUGUACCGUUUCCCAUGCGACGCCAGGGCUGCAGAACAUUCUCACACCAUGGAUGGUUCUUCCCGUCUCUAGUGCUAUUGCUGCUGCAUUUUCCAUCCCACAAGUCAUUUUUUUUUUUUAAUUUUUUUUUUCAACGUUUAUUUAUUUUUGAGACAGAGAGAGACAGAGCAUGAACAGGGGAGGGGCAGAGACAGAGGGAGACACAGAAUCUGAAACAGGCUGCAGGCUCCGAGCGGUCAGCACAGAGCCCGACGCGGGGCUCGAACUCACCGGGCCGUGAGAUCAUGACCUGAGCCGAAGUCGGACGCUUAACCGACCAAGCCACCCAGGCUCCCCCCACAAGUCAUUUUUACUCUUUUGUGCAGUCAAUAUUCAUUUAGAUUUCCCCACAUACUCUUUCUGAGGCGUUUAAUUCCUACCUGCAGUUUGGUUGCUCUCAUCUGAGGUCAUUUUCCUUCUGUCAAAAGCACUCCCUUUAGUAAAGAACAGAUUCCCUGACAACCAGUUUCGCCAACUUUUCUUUCUCUGGCCAUAUCACCCCAUUGUCGGUUUCCAUUGUUUCUGUUGAGAAAUCAGCUGUCCAUUUUAGUUUCUCCUUUGAAGAUCAGGUGUCUGUUGAAUUUAAGAAUUUUCUCUUUGUCUUUGGUGUUUAGGAGUUUGAUAAUGAUUUGCCCAGGUGUGCUCUUCUUUGGGGUUCAUAGUGUUUCUUUAAUCUGUGUAUAUUGUAUGGCUUGAUGUUUUCCACUUAUUAUGUAAAAUCAUCAGUUAUUGUCUCUCUCUUUUCUUAAUGUUUUAUUUAUUUAUUUUUAGAGAGAGAAAGUGUACAGGCACGACCAGGGGAGGGGCAGAGAGAGAGGGAAAGAGAGAGAGAAUCCCAAGCAGGCUCUGCACUGUCAGCAUGGAGCCUGACGCAGAGCUUGAACUCAUGGACUGUGAGAUUGUGCCCUGAGCCGAAAUCAAGAGUUGGCACUUAACUGACUGAGCUGCUUUAGUGCCCCCGCUAUUAUCUCUUUAAACAUUGCUUCUGGGGCUGUCGUUAUAUGUAUGUUAGAUCUUCUUGCUGUGUCCCAUAGGUUUCUUAUGUUCUUUUCUCUAUUUUCCAACUUUUUUCCCUCUGUGCCUCAGUCUGGGUAUUUUCUGACUUAUUGGUGGUUCACUAACCCUUUGUCUAGCUGUUUUAAACUGCUAUUAAAUCCAUUUAUUGAGUUCUUAA